GACGAACGCUGGCGGCGUGCUUAACACAUGCCAGUCGAACGGAAAGGCCCUGCUUUUGUGGGGUGCUCGAGUGGCGAACGGGUGAGUAACACGUGAGUAACCUGCCCUUGACUUUGGGAUAACUUCAGGAAACUGGGGCCAAUACCGGAUCGGAGCUCCUGCUGCAUGGUGGGGGUUGGAAAGUUUCGGCGGUUGGGGAUGGACUCGCGGCUUAUCAGCUUGUUGGUGGGGUAGUGGCUUACCAAGGCUUUGACGGGUAGCCGGCCUGAGAGGGUGACCGGCCACAUUGGGACUGAGAUACGGCCCAGACUCCUACGGGAGGCAGCAGUGGGGAAUAUUGCACAAUGGGCGGAAGCCUGAUGCAGCAACGCCGCGUGCGGGAUGACGGCCUUCGGGUUGUAAACCGCUUUCGCCUGUGACGAAGCGUGAGUGACGGUAAUGGGUAAAGAAGCACCGGCUAACUACGUG
rnacentral:rRNA from 1 species